rnacentral:lncRNA from 1 species
GGGAGGAAAGAAAAGUGGCUGCGCCGCGCAUGCGCCGCCGCCGUGUAACCCUUAAAGCGGCCGCGCGGCGCGAGCGGGGAGCGGCGCGGGGCUCAGGGGCAUGCGGUGACAAAAACGCAGCGUAGUGCGCGAAGCGGCAGAAAUGCCUCGGAUGGUUGCAUUCCUCCUGCUGUCGGCCGGAUCCUUCCCUUUAACUCUUUAUUUGGACAAGAUAACGUGUUUAAUUUCAGGGUUUGGUUUACGUAAACGGGUCCUGUGGCCACUGAUGGUUCCUGAGGUAACUACCCAACACCUUAACUUCGGUCUGAACACAAGCAGAAGUCCUUAUCUCUAACUCCCUUUAUCUAGGUAGCCCUUCUUGUAUCUCAUAAACUGUAGUAUUCUCCAACGGGUUUUUUUUUUAAAGGUGAAGGUUUAUUGCAUUAAUCUAAUCUUGAAAUAAGAAAAAAUAUGAUAAUGCCAGCAGCAGGAUCUGUAUAUGGCAGUAAAGGCCUUGCACUGAUCGUAAAAAGCAAAUUUAAUUACUGCUAUAAUGUUCAUAUCUGAUAGCAGCUGGGGAAAUAGGAGACCUGAAGGCUGAUGGCUACUGAGAAACAUUCUUUUAGUUAAAGCAUUCACAAUUGCUUCCAGCAUCCCUGUUGACUUAAUCAUAGGCACAUACACUUGGAUGUCACCAGCCUUCUGAAACUGCCUACAACAGGAGGGUAACAAUGUGCCAUACUACCCUUCUUUAGGGAAAGAAGAGAUUAUUCACUUACCCAUUUACAGUCACCUGAGGAAAAAUACUGCUUCAGGACUGUUUGUGAUUC